AAGAUCUAAAAGAAACGACCCAUUAACGUUUGUUUUUGUAAAGUGACAAAAUGUGUAAAAGUUUUUCAAGCACACAUAACAAGAUUCCACAGAAUCCGUUUCUUUUAUUCCUACAUCUCCACCACCGUGGGAAACACCAAAGGACCUCGUGGAUAAGAUUGUAGCCUGGCACAAGGCUGGACUGGGCUACGAGACCAUCAGCAAGAAGCUUGUCAAUCACCUGAAGGAAGCUGGAGCCACAGUUAACAAAAACAUACCUGAUCAUGGAUCUCCUCAGCAGUUUGGAAAUCUACAUCCCUGCAGAGGCUGAGGUGAAAAACAUCCCUUUGUGGACCUUGCCAAAGUCUGUACUCAGAAGAAUGGGCCUCCCUCUCCUGAAUGCCUCCAGGAAUCUUGCAGACUCUCCAGAAGGCAUAUGGAUUUCUCCAGCAGUUAUACGGAAGAAAGGCCAGAGAUACACAGGAAGUGCAAUAGAUAACAUGACCUCAGUGCUGGGCAAAGAGUUGCGUGCUUCAAGGGGUCCUUUUCGAAUGUCUUUUGUUUCCUCGAACCAUGCAGCUCAUGAGGUGCUGAAGGGCACCGUUCCCAAGGCACCUCUAUGUCAAACCUCUCAAUUCCCUCCAGACUCUGCACCACGAACCGGUCGAGAUGCUGUCGUCAUCUACCGUGGGCAAGUUUACUUGUCCAUCAGGGUGCCUAGUCGUAGCCAUAGUCAGCGUGGGAAACAGACGACUUCCCAGCCUGUCACUCCUUCAACGUCCCACUUGUCUUCAAAGAAAAGGAAAAAGACGAUGCUAAGCGACAAUAAGCCCAAGAAAAAGCACAACAUAUGUGAAGUAAUGCAUACAGAAAACAAGAAGGAUGACGCACACAGGACAAGAGAUGUUCACUUUCUGCCAAAACCCAUUGAGAGUGAGUGUGAAGUUGGCAGCAAGUGUCCUGCAGAUUCUAGAGGAGAGCUGCUCUCAGAAGCCCCCCUGAAGACAGCUGGCUUUCAGCCUCACGGGGAGCCAGAGGAGGAUCUGACUGCCGAAGAAGCAGACGGCCCCCAUGAGAACAAUGACAGAAGUGGUAGUCUACAGAUGGACAUCAGGGAAGUUGACCAAAGUAGCAGGGGCAGGAUGGAUCCCCUGUGUGCAGCUGCCGCCUCCACAUCACUGCAGAUGGACUGUGACUUUAACGAGUUGGCACAAGAGGAGAAGAUCGCUCAAAUGAGAGCCAAACUUAGACAGAACGAAGCUGCUCUAAACCUGCUUUCUUAAAGUGACCUCACAUUUGUUAGCCUUUUUGUACCAAAUGUUUAGAAUAGACUUUUAUACAUUUGUCUUCUGUGAACACAUGCACAUUAAUAAAAAUGGUAUCGAUGGGCUUAUGUGUUUGGUGAUCCUUUUGUUUUAUUCGGGCGUCCAAAAACAAAGAGAUGUUGUACUAGUGUGGUGUUGUCUUCUCAUUAGGUGCAGUUUAUAGCAACGUCUUCAUUGUUUGGAUGUUUUUGAUGUGUUAGUUCUGGUCAAAAAAUCAUUUCCUUUUGAUAAAACCUUAAACCAUAACAGGGUAUGGGUUGAUUAGGUUAACCUGUAGUUUGAUAAGGUCCCAUUUACAAAGUCAACCACAUGGUUCUUUGUUAAAAUGCUUCUUUUUCCCAGAAUAUAUGAUGGGCUUUUUCCUGGUUCAGUAACUAAGACUUUUUUUUUUUUUUUUGUUAAAAUCAAGCAUCCCAAAUAUACCGUUUUGUUUUUAUGUUUAGUAUGGUAGUUUUCCUGAUCACCUUGAAACACCUCCACAGGUCAUGAGUGGGUCUUAUGUCUGUUGGAAGUGCUCCAAACCACAAACGGCAAAUAUGACUAAUCUUUGUGCAUAUGUGUUUCAUAAUGUGACUUUUAAUACUAAUUAGACCUGUGAAAAAUCAUUAUCAUUAUUAUUAUUAUUAUUAUUGUUUGGUGACCUAGUGCUGAAAUGGUUGUGGCAUGAUUGUUGUCCUUUCUACUCUGCCUUCUCACUCCAUAAAUUAUUUUUCAUACGCAAGUCUUGCACUCUGGGCCUGACAUUUCCCACUCUUCUGUCAGUGUGGAACAAGAAUGUCAGGACUUUGAAUUGUGACAUAGUGACUGUGCUCACACUCAUCUGUCUGCUCUGGUCCCUGAACGAUUCAAAAUGUUUAGCAUGAACUCAUCUAGGGUUAAAGGUUUUCAUUUCUCUGUGUUUGAAAUGCAUUUCUAUAGAUGUAUUUCUGUUUGGAAAAUAUGUUUGCAAUAAAAGCAUUCUGUACGGGG
ensembl:lncRNA